CUCCACUUCGAUCUAGAUCGGGAAGCCACGGCCGCCCGCCUCUUCCUCUCCCUCCAGACCACGGCGAGCCCCCUUCCCCCUCCCUCACACCACACCCCACGCGCACGCGCACGCGGCAGAGAGAGAGAGAGAGCACAUCGAGAGGCCUGGAGCGUCAGCUCCUGCAAGCCCCGCAACGGCGUCGCCUCCCUCCGCGAUGACAGCCUCGACACCUACUGGCAGUCAGACGGCGCGCAGCCGCACCUGGUCAACAUCCAGUUCCAGAAGAAGGUGCAGCUGCAGCUUGUUGUGCUGUACGUGGAUUUCAAGCUGGACGAGAGCUACACGCCCAGCAAGAUCUCCAUCCGGGCCGGCGACGACUUCCACAAUCUCAAGGAAAUUAAAACUGUGGACCUUUUGAAGCCAGUAGGAUGGGUUCAUAUAUCAUUAUCUGGCACUGAUCCCCGCAUUGAAACUUCAGAAUCUGAAUUUUCCUUAGAUUUUGAUAAACUUAGAUACUAUGUCAAAGUGCAAGAAUAU
rnacentral:rRNA from 1 species